rfam:Coniochaeta ligniaria NRRL 30616 unplaced genomic scaffold CONLIGscaffold_4, whole genome shotgun sequence.
GCGGGUUUAGCUCAGUUGGGAGAGCGUCAGACUGAAGUCAAACUUCACCAGUUAAUCUGAAGGUCGUGUGUUCGAUCCACACAAACCGCA